AUGGUCGCGUCGUCGCUUAACCCGGAGGCCCCGCUCUUCAUCCCGGCAGCGUUCCAGCAGGUGGAGGACUUCUCACCGCAGUGGUGGGACCUCGUCAAGUCCACCGCCUGGUUUCGCGACCACUGGUACCACCAGCACCAGCAGCUCGACGAUAUGGUCGACUCCCUCAUGGCCUUGGAGGCCGAGGACGCCAUCGCCGUCGAGGCUUCGCAGCCGCAGCCGCCAGCGGCACUCAAGAUUGGUGCAGACGGGGUGCUCAAGGCGCUGAGCCUGGCGUCCCCAAGCCCAAAGGGUGGCUUCUCGGAGAAGCCUAGGUACACCGAGAAGCCCACCAAGUACGCCGGCAGCCCGAGGAGCGGUGGCGCACCGCGCUUCAUCCACCAGCCUCGCUAG
rnacentral:rRNA from 1 species